rnacentral:rRNA from 1 species
CACGGAGGGGGCUAGCGUUGUUCGGAAUGACUGGGCGUAAAGCGCGCGUAGGCGGCUUUUUAAGUCAGGGGUGAAAUCCCGGGGCUCAACCCCGGAACUGCCCUUGAAACUGGAUGGCUAGAAUACUGGAGAGGUGAGUGGAAUUCCGAGUGUAGAGGUGAAAUUCGUAGAUAUUCGGAAGAACACCAGUGGCGAAGGCGACUCACUGGACAGUUAUUGACGCUGAGGUGCGAAAGCGUGGGGAGCAAACAGG